rnacentral:lncRNA from 1 species
AUGUUAGAAACUUCCAUCUCUGGUGACACCUUUCAAAUCCACGGUCAGAGAUCGUGGUCCUCCACUUACGCAAACAUGACCACUCUUUUCUCGCCGGUGUGUCUUCUCUUUCUGUCUCCUGUUAGGUUCACGGAGAAGGAGGUUCAUGUUCACCGGGACUUUCACCACUCUUCACAGCUGUCUCCUCUCUGGUCGCUGAUCCGAGCUCUUUUCCCUGCACAUCUGACAGAGCAAUGUCAGAACAGUUACCCCCAUUGCCUGGAAGUCAAGGUGUUCGCAUGUGUGGUCGCCCCUGCUCUUGUCUGUG